CCUACGGGGUGCUGCAGUGGGGAAUAUUGGACAAUGGGCGAAAGCCUGAUCCAGCCAUGCCGCGUGUGUGAAGAAGGCCUUCGGGUUGUAAAGCACUUUCAGUGGGGAAGAAAGCCUUGGGGCUAAUACCCUCGAGGAAGGACAUCACCCACAGAAGAAGCACCGGCUAACUCCGUGCCAGCAGCCGCGGUAAUACGGAGGGUGCGAGCGUUAAUCGGAAUUACUGGGCGUAAAGCGCGCGUAGGCGGUCUGAUAAGCCGGUUGUGAAAGCCCCGGGCUCAACCUGGGAACGGCAUCCGGAACUGUCAGGCUAGAGUGCAGGCGAGGAAGGUAGAAUUCCCGGUGUAGCGGUGAAAUGCGUAGAGAUCGGGAGGAAUACCAGUGGCGAAGGCGGCCUUCUGGACUGACACUGACGCUGAGGUGCGAAAGCGUGGGUAGCAAACAGGAUUAGAUACCCUUGUAGUC
rnacentral:rRNA from 1 species